rnacentral:rRNA from 1 species
UACGUAGGGCGCGAGCGUUGUCCGGAAUUAUUGGGCGUAAAGAGCUCGUAGGUGGCUUGUCGCGUCUGCCGUGAAAGCCCGUGGCUUAACUACGGGUCUGCGGUGGAUACGGGCAGGCUAGAGGCUGGUAGGGGCAAGCGGAAUUCCUGGUGUAGCGGUGAAAUGCGCAAAUAUCAGGAGGAACACCGGUGGCGAAGGCGGCUUGCUGGGCCAGUUCUGACGCUGAGGAGCGAAAGCGUGGGGAGCGAACAGG